AGAGUUUGAUCAUGGCUCAGGACGAACGCUGGCGGCGUGCUUAACACAUGCAAGUCGAGCGAUGAAACACCUUCGGGUGUGAAUUAGCGGCGAACGGGUGAGGAACACGUGAAGAAUCUGCCUUCAACUCUGGGAUAACUCCGGGAAACCGGGGCUAAUACCGGAUAUGAGCCUCGAUCGCAUGAUUGGGGCUGGAAAGUUUUUCGGUUGAAGAUGACUUCGCGGCCUAUCAGCUUGUUGGUGAGGUAAUGGCUCACCAAGGCGACGACGGGUAGCCGGCCUGAGAGGGCGACCGGCCACACUGGGACUGAGACACGGCCCAGACUCCUACGGGAGGCAGCAGUGGGGAAUAUUGGGCAAUGGAGGAAACUCUGACCCAGCGACGCCGCGUGAGGGAUGAAGGCCUUCGGGUUGUAAACCUCUUUCAGUAGGGAAGAAGCGAAAGUGACGGUACCUACAGAAGAAGCACCGGCUAACUAUGUGCCAGCAGCCGCGGUAAUACAUAGGGUGCAAGCGUUGUCCGGAAUUAUUGGGCGUAAAGAGCUCGUAGGUGGUUCGAUACGUCGGAUGUGAAAAUCAGGGGCUCAACCCCUGACCUGCAUCCGAUACGGUCGAGCUAGAGUUUGGUAGGGGAGACUGGAAUUCCUGGUGUAGCGGUGGAAUGCGCAGAUAUCAGGAGGAACACCGAUGGCGAAGGCAGGUCUCUGGGCCAAUACUGACACUGAGGAGCGAAAGCGUGGGGAGCGAACAGGAUUAGAUACCCUGGUAGUCCACGCCGUAAACGGUGGGCGCUAGUUG
rnacentral:rRNA from 1 species